CUAUUUAACUAUGAAUCUAUUACAAAUUGCGAAAUCAUCAUAUCAUAAAUUGCGUACAAUACAAAAUAUAUGAACAGACCCUAGGCGCCCAGCCAAAUCCUCUAAAGUCUGGAAAGAUGGAUGACACCUGUUCAUAAGAAGACAAAAAUUUAUUCGCAGGAAAUACACCUAACCGGCUAUUGGAAGGACUCAAAAACCAUCUAUCAAACAUGAUAUGAUCACCAAUUAAAUAUUAAGUGCUACUACAGACAGAUAAUUUUUACAAUUAAAUGGAGGUGAU
rnacentral:misc_RNA from 1 species